rnacentral:lncRNA from 1 species
CGGAUGUACACUCCUGAGUCUCCCACCACUGCUCCUCCCUUCUCCGUCUGCUUCCUGGCUGCCAGCGUGAGCAGCUUUCCUCCAGAGCAGGCCCUUCCAGCAGGCGUUUCUGCAUUUGAGCCUGCCCAACAGGGACCAAAACCUCUGAAAAUCGACAUCUAGACCCUGACCAGAAGCCUUCAAAACACGGCAAUUUUAGAGGGCGUGUGUUACGGCAAACGAGAACGCAAAGGGCAAACGCGGCACGCGCCGGGCAUCACCUCGCCGACCCUCCUGCGCCCUGGCGCCC